AUGGAGUCCCUUAUUGGUAUGGCUCCUGUAGAGGCUGAAGACAAGAGUAAAGACAAAGUCUCAACCGCCGCUCCUUCCAUGUGGAUCGUACAGAACUUUGUGCAUUGACCCGAGGACACUAAUGAUGAUGUGACCAAGACGUAUGCUCUUGUGUACGUGUGGUAUGUUAUCUGUAGGACUCUCUUUGGUGAAGGCGGUGGCAGGACCGCUCAAUGGAUGUGGCAAGGCGUUGACUGUCUUCGACAACAAACAUAUCUUGGUUUUGGCGACACUGGCCUACUUGUACUGACAGGUAAUCAAUUGCUCAUUUUAAGUUUAUUUGUACAUUACCAAUGCAAACUUGUCUUUAAUUGA
rnacentral:rRNA from 1 species